GCAGUGGGGGUUCAAGCGGUAGAGUUCCCACCUUCCAUGUGGGAGACCUGGGUUCAAUUCCUGGCCAAUGCU
rnacentral:tRNA from 1 species